CAGUUUGCAAAUAUUUUAUCCCAUUCUGUCACUAUCUGUUUACUGUGUUGAUAGUUUAUCUUGCUGUGCAGUAAGCAAAAAGUUUGUAAA